rnacentral:snRNA from 1 species
GGAUGUGAGGGCGAUCUAGCUGUGAUAUCUGUCACCCCAUUGAUUCAGCUGAUCUGGCUGGCUAGGCGGGUGUCCCCUUCCUCCCUCACUGCUCCAUGUGCAUCCCUCCUGAAGCUGCAUGCUCUGUCAAAGAGGACGGCCUUCCCCAAUAGAGACAGUACCGUUCAUCAGUCAAAGGUAUACAGUAGCUGUGCUCCCCUGCUAGAACCUCCAAACAAGCACAACUGCAGUCCAAUUCUAAACAAAGGCUCAAGAACUAAAAAAGAAAACAAAAUCUUUGCUUGCAAAGCUGUGUGGUUU